rnacentral:rRNA from 1 species
UACGGAAGGCAGCAGUGGGGAAUAUUGCACAAUGGGCGCAAGCCUGAUGCAGCCAUGCCGCGUGUAUGAAGAAGGCCUUCGGGUUGUAAAGUACUUUCAGCGGGGAGGAAGGCGAUGCGGUUAAUAACCGCGUCGAUUGACGUUACCCGCAGAAGAAGCACCGGCUAACUCCGUGCCAGCAGCCGCGGUAAUACGGAGGGUGCAAGCGUUAAUCGGAAUUACUGGGCGUAAAGCGCACGCAGGCGGUCUGUUUAAGUCAGAUGUGAAAUCCCCCGGGCUUAACCUGGGAACUGCAUUUUGAAACUGGCAGGCUUGAGUCUUGUAGAGGGGGUAGAAUUCCAGGUGUAGCGGUGAAAUGCGUAGAGAUCUGGAGGAAUACCGGUGGCGAAGGCGGCCCCUGGGACAAAGACUGACGCUCAGGUGCGAAAGCGUGGGGAGCAAACAGGAUUAGGAUACC